GCCGCAGGCGCUUCAGCCCAGCGGCGGGCCUUGGCCCUUGGCUGCCUACUCCUACCGCCCCAGCCCCGGGCGGCCCUGGGCCUGCUGCGGGCGCGGCGCUGCCCGACCAGAGCUUCCUGUGGAACGUCUUCCAGAGGGUCGAUAAAGACAGGAGUGGAGUGAUAUCAGACACCGAGCUUCAGCAAGCUCUCUCCAACGGAAUCAUUAGGACAAAUUGUUAAUACUGCUUCAUGGUGGAGAUGCUUCUGGUUUAUUUUGUGGCUACCGCUGUUACUGCUUGGAGUGCCUCACCGAGCCAGGCACGUGGACUCCCUUUAAUCCAGUGACUGUCAGGUCGAUCAUAUACUACACUGAAGGCUGGUUACGCUCUUAUGUGCAAUAGAACCUCAAACACAUCGUAACACACCUUUGGAGAAUCCUUACAAGAACACCAAGUUAACAGUUAUCUCUGACCACACUACCUCAGCAAAAAA
rnacentral:lncRNA from 1 species